rnacentral:lncRNA from 1 species
AGUCGCCGAGCCCUGUAGUUUAGGGUUGUUUUGCGGCCAGCGAGACGCCGGAAGUCUGGGAAUAAGGCGGGACCAGGGAAAAAGCAGGAUUCCGAUUGGUGAAGAGGCCACAUGGCCUUCUUUAAAGGACGGGAUAGAGUUGCACACGCGCAUUGAGGCGUGUCUUCCCUGGUUCUGCGUCCGUGAAGCCUAGAGAUUCCCGAGCCUGGGUCACCCGGGCGGUGUCGCAUGUCGUCUGCGGGGAGGUUGGGGCUGCUCGCGCGAGGCGCUCUGGGUCUCAUUUCCGAGGCCGAAAAUGCUGGCUCCAAAGUGGUGCCCUGGGAGAUGAGGGCGACUCGCAGAUUCCACCCUAUUCUCUGAAUGGGCUUCGAGUCUCCAUGGUGGUGGUUGUGAGAAUUAAGGGAACCUCAGAGCAAUGGCCAGCACACAAUGACCCUUCAAAUGUCAGCGGCUUUGAUGAUCACCAUUCUUACCUUUUCUUUGGAGAUUUGGACAAGUUACCGCCCCACCUUCCUCCAGGGUCUUUGUGUAUUGAUCUGCAGGUUGGAUGUAUUGGAUGUUACGACCACUAAACUUUCUUCUGAGCAC